UAGAGAAGAAAAGCGGGCAGCUACUAGAUAUUCAAAUCUUCCACAAAUGUCAGGGAGAGAGUCAGGCAGUUGGUAGAAGAGACCUGUAAAGCUGGGUACCAUAAGCCUCAACACAGGUGUUUUUAUUUCAAGGCUGGGGAGCUGUGCUUUGGAAAAGCAAUGAGGAGGUAACAGGAAGUCUCUUCUCCUUCUAAAUCCUGUGUUCAUGGAGGAGGGUGGGUUUUCUCCUCUUGAGAGGGAGUUACAUACAAGUUUAAGGGAAAAGAGUCUGAAGUUUCCACCUAAAUGAUUCUGAAAGAAUCAGGUUAAGAAGCAAAUCUGUUCCGAUGUGAUGCCAACUAAGUACAUGAUCUGAUUGUUCCAGUUAUCCUGUGCCAAAAAGAAGCAAAAAAUGGGCUUUCCACGGAUUAUUGAACACGGUGUCAGUGUGCCUGAGAAACAAGCCUCUAUUAAAAGCUUUCUAGGCAAUUUGAAUCAGGUUGCUGAGCUUUGAAAAACAUUCUACAGCCAA
rnacentral:lncRNA from 1 species